AUACGUAGGUGGCGAGCGUUAUCCGGAAUUAUUGGGCGUAAAGAGGGAGCAGGCGGCACUAAGGGUCUGUGGUGAAAGCCCGAAGCUUAACUUCGGCGAGCCAUGGAAACCGUAGAGCUAGAGUGUGUGAGAGGAUCGUGGAAUUCCAUGUGUAGCGGUGAAAUGCGUAGAUAUAUGGAGGAACACCAGUGGCGAAGGCGACGAUCUGGCGCACAACUGACGCUCAGUCCCGAAAGCGUGGGGAGC
rnacentral:rRNA from 1 species